ensembl:snoRNA small nucleolar RNA SNORA2/SNORA34 family
UUGGCCCUAAAUCAAGGCUGGAAGCUUCCUGAUGAUGUUGGUUUCAAGCAGGAGCCUAAAGAGAUGUCUUUCUAUGGUCUGUUGUCCAUUUCAGAACUUGGACAGUGAAAUGGUCAAUUCAUUAGAAAGAAACAUCU